AUUGAACGCUGGCGGAAUGCUUUACACAUGCAAGUCGAACGGCAGCACGGACUUCGGUCCGGUGGCGAGUGGCGAACGGGUGAGUAAUGUAUCGGAACGUGCCCAGUCGUGGGGGAUAACGUAGUGAAAAUUACGCUAAUACCGCAUACGAUCUAUGGAUGAAAGCGGGGGAUCGCAAGACCUCGCGCGAUUGGAGCGGCCGAUAUCAGAUUAGGUAGUUGGUGGGGUAAAGGCCCACCAAGCCAACGAUCUGUAGCUGGUCUGAGAGGACGACCAGGCACACUGGAACUGGGACACGGUCCAGACUCCUACGGGAGGCAGCAGUGGGGAAUUUUGGACAAUGGGCGAAAGCCUGAUCCAGCCAUUCCGCGUGCAGGAUGAUGGCCCUCGGGUUGUAAACUGCUUUUGUACAGAACGAAAAGGUUUCUACUAAUACUAGGAGCUCAUGACGGUACUGUAAGAAUAAGCACCGGCUAACUACGUGCCAGCCGCCGCCGUAA
rnacentral:rRNA from 1 species